GUCGUCACUUUUUCUUCUUCUUCCUCUUUCAAAACAAAAUCAAAAUUCCUUCUCAAAUCAUCAAAGCAGUUCAUACUUUUUGGUUCUUUGUAUUUUAAAAUCUUUCCUUUAGAUCUGCUCUUCGUUAAUCAGCGUUGUUACUGUUUUUCUUCUGAAAAAACAAAAAAGCAAAAAAUAAUUUGCGUGCCCAAGUUGGGUUUUUGCUUUGUUUUUUGUUUUCUUGUUGCUACACAUUUCUCUCCAGUCACUCUAUAUAGUUUCUGCAUAUUUGCUUUAUCUUCUUGCAUUUAAAUUAUUUUCUUUACGAUCUCAUCUCUGUUUAUCGUGACGUUAUUGUUGUUUUUCUCCUUCUUGUUUAGAGAAAACCAAAAAAAGAAAAGUUGUGUUCAAAUCUUCUUUCUGCCUACUACUUCACACCUUUUUCUUUGUAUUUAAAUUCUUCAUUUGAUUUUUCUCUCCACGAUCGUUGUUCUCAUAUUUCCUGCUCUCAGAAAACGAAAAACAAAAAAACCAAGAAACCAAAACAAGGAUUUAAUAUCAAAGGCCUUGAAGCGGUGUUGCACAUAGAUAUCUUUGAGAGAUCUUAGAUAUUGGUUGGCCACGUGAAACAUACUUGAAGAUUCCAAUUACUGUUUCCAGGUUAGUAUAUACCUAGUUUUAAUAGUAAAUUUCAUUUAUUCAUAGAAACUAUUUUAGGUUUCUUAAAUUGCACACAUGGAUGGGUUAUGUAUAUACUAGCCCCCUUCUUAAUAUAAAAUUCAGGAGCUUGUUUGGAUUC